rnacentral:lncRNA from 10 species
UGGCAGGAAGCAGAGUGCUGGUCUUACACAACACUUUUUGUUGGUGUCAGCAUCAAAGGAAGAACACUGAAGCACGUGAUGCUAGAAGUUAAUGAAAAAAAUAUUUAAAGUACUCAAGAGAAAGUAACUCUAAACCCACAAUUCUAUACCUACAUAAAUUAUUAUGCAAAAAUAAUGUUUUAUUUUUUGAGAUGGAGUUUCACUCGUGUUGCCCAGGCUGGAGUGCAAUGGCGUGAUCGCAGCUCACUGCAACCUCCACCUCCCAGAUUCAAGAGAUUCUCCUGCCUCAGCCGCCCGACUAGCUGGGAUUACAGGCAUGUGCCACCACGCCUGGCUAAUUUUCUGUAUUUUUAGUAGAGACAGGGUUUCCCCAUGUUGGCCAGGCUGGUCUUGAACUCCUGACCUCAGGUGAUCCACCCACCUUGGCCUCCGAAAGUUCUGGGAUUACAGGCGUGACCCACUGCACCCAGCUUAGUUUGUUCCUUGUUUAUUGCUGAAUAGUAUGCCAGUGUGUGGACAGGUCACAUUUUGUUAUCUGUGCACUAGCUG